rnacentral:rRNA from 1 species
UACGGGGGGGGCAAGCGUUGUUCGGAAUUACUGGGCGUAAAGGGCUCGUAGGCGGCCAACUAAGUCAGACGUGAAAUCCCUCGGCUUAACCGGGGAACUGCAUCUGAUACUGGAUGGCUUGAGAUUGGGAGAGGGAUGCGGAAUUCCAGGUGUAGCGGUGAAAUGCGUAGAUAUCGGGAGGAACACCAAUGGCGAAGGCAGCUCGCUGGGACGGUACUGACGCUGAGACGCGAAAGCGUGGGGAGCAAACAGG